CACAGCCUCAGUUCUUGACAAGCUCCUAGCCAGAGGAGAGGCGAUUUUAUUCCGGUGUGAUGAGCGCUAGUAGAAGAUAUGUUAGAACAGAGGGACCACACGGACUAGGCGGAGAUCAAGGAAGGCUUCUUGGAGGGGACAUAGGAGGUGGCCUGCGAGGCUGAGUGGGAAUAUUUUGGGUAGAAAGGAGACCACUAAGCAUGUGUUUCCGACAGAGGAACCAACUUGCGAAGAGGGAAGGUGGUUGUGUGCUAGGGAAACAAAUGUGGGUAUCCAUGGUCAUAACAGAGGAUGCCUUGGGCGUGGAGGGCAGAAAGUCAGCCGGCAAAGUGGGAACCUGAGUACCAGGGAAGCUGGGAUGAAGAAGCCUCCCUCUGCAGAUCACCCCGUUAAAGGCAGAGCAGUGGGCGCAGGUGCUAUGGCUUGAAGCAGGCCUGUCUGAAUUCUUAGCAGCGAUCUCCAAGGGCACCAUAACCUUGCAAGAAAGAGACUGCCGGGCCUGCAUCUCUUUCUGAUGCAGAAACCAGGGCCCGGAGAAGGUGAGUAAGCUGCUUAGAGCCACACAGCUGUGAGUAGCAGAUCCAAGCGCAACCUGUCUGUCCCAGGAGCUUGCAGGAUAGCUAGACCUUUGCUGCCUAGAAGGCCCUCUUGUGAGUCCCCUCCCUGGGCUCAGCAACCCAGGAGGGCAUGACUUCUGGCUGGGUCCUAGGGCUGGAGCCUCGGUGUCCUCUUGUCUUCUUUCCUUGUGCGACUUGGUUUUCCAGUCUGUGAAAUGGGGUGGGUGCGUCCAACUCCAAGCCUGUCUCUGCCCUGGGUCCUGGAGCCUGGAGGAGGAAUGAGGUCAUGUUUGUCUAGGGGCUAGAGCAUCUUG
rnacentral:lncRNA from 1 species